rnacentral:rRNA from 1 species
ACACUAUCAUUAACUGAAUCCAUAGGUUAAUGAGGCGAACCGGGGGAACUGAAACAUCUAAGUACCCCGAGGAAAAGAAAUCAACCGAGAUUCCCCCAGUAGCGGCGAGCGAACGGGGAGGAGCCCAGAGCCUGAAUCAGCAUGUGUGUUAGUGGAAGCGUCUGGAAAGGCGCGCGAUACAGGGUGACAGCCCCGUACACAAAAGCGCAUGUGCUGUGAGCUCGAUGAGUAGGGCGGGACACGUGGUAUCCUGUCUGAAUAUGGGGGGACCAUCCUCCAAGGCUAAAUACUCCUGACUGACCGAUAGUGAACCAGUACCGUGAGGGAAAGGCGAAAAGAACCCCGGCGAGGGGAGUGAAAAAGAACCUGAAACCGUGUACGUACAAGCAGUGGGAGCACAGGUUUACCUGUGUGACUGCGUACCUUUUGUAUAAUGGGUCAGCGACUUAUAUUCUGUAGCAAGGUUAACCGAAUAGGGGAGCCGGAGGGAAACCGAGUCUUAAUUGGGCGUUAAGUUG